GACGUAGGAGGCGAGCGUUGUCCGGAUUCAUUGGGCGUAAAGAGCGCGCAGGCGGCUUGGUAAGUCGGAUGUGAAAUCCCGAGGCUCAACCUCGGGUCUGCAUCCGAUACUGCCCGGCUAGAGGUAGGUAGGGGAGAUCGGAAUUCCUGGUGUAGCGGUGAAAUGCGCAGAUAUCAGGAGGAACACCGCUGGCGAAGGCGGAUCUCUGGGCCUUACCUGACGCUCAGGCGCGAAAGCUAGGGGAGCGAACUGG
rnacentral:rRNA from 1 species